rnacentral:tRNA from 1 species
GCCGAGGUGGCGGAAUCGGUAGACGCGCUAGCUUCAGGUGCUAGUGAGCAUACGCUCGUGGAGGUUCAAGUCCUCUCCUCGGCACCA